AGCAGCCGCGGUAAUUCCAGCUCCAAUAGCGUAUAUUAAAGUUGUUGCAGUUAAAAAGCUCGUAGUUGAAUUUCGGGAUCAAUACGUCGGUCGUGCCUCUGGUAUGUACUGGUGUUAUUGAUUUCUCCUUUCUGAUGAACCAUGAUGUCAUUAAUUUGGUGUUGUGGGGAGUCAGGACUGUUACUUUGAAAAAAUUAGAGUGUUUAAAGCAGGCUCACGCUUGAAUACAUUAGCAUGGAAUAAUGAAAUAGGACGUUCGAACCUAUUUUGUUGGUUUCUAGGAUCAACGUAAUGAUUAAUAGGGAUAGUUGGGGGCAUUAGUAUUCAAUUGUCAGAGGUGAAAUUCUUGGAUUUAUUGAAGACUAACUACUGCGAAAGCAUUUGCCAAGGAUGUUUUCAUUAAUCAAGAACGAAAGUUAGGGGAUCGAAGACGAUCAGAUACCGUCGUAGUCUUAACCAUAAACUAUGCCGACUAGGGAUCGGAUGAUGUUAAUUUUUAAUGACUCAUUCGGUGUCCG
rnacentral:rRNA from 1 species